rnacentral:rRNA from 1 species
UACAGAGGGGGCAAGCGUUAUUCGGAAUUAUUGGGCGUAAAGGGCGCGUAGGCGGCUUGGCAAGUGGAAGGUGAAAUCCCUCGGCUCAACUGAGGAACUGCCUUCCAGACUGCUUUGCUUGAGUCCGGGAGAGGUGAGUGGAAUUCCCAGUGUAGCGGUGAAAUGCGUAGAUAUCAGGAGGAACACCGAUGGCGAAGGCAGUUCUCUGGGCCGUAACUGACGCUGAGGAGCGAAAGCGUGGGGAGCGAACAGG